rnacentral:sRNA from 1 species
UAAUUGAAUAAUUUAAGGAUUUCCCUUUCCUAUUUGAUAUUGAUUAGCUCACCAAUCCAUAUGUAACGUAACUCUAUUCGCUUUUCUGAUUGGUAUAGAAAAUAAUAGAAUUAGGAAAUCCUCUAUUUACUAUUCACUGAAUAAUAACUUUUUUGUUGACAAAAGAAUAAAGAUCAUUUCUAUUCCAAGGUGGGGAGUUUUAUUUUCCCCAUCGACCUA